ACUAAAUUGACCCCAAUGCCGGUCCGUAAUUCCUGUACCCAUGAGUUGAAUAAUCAAGCAAUUCUAGAUAAAAUAGCUCUCUGUAAUCUCAUCAACAAAUCACUAAGCUUCUGAACUUCCUCCGAUUUUAAAUCUUGUAUAUUCUUUUCGAUUUCAAAAGUGGCUUCCGUCAUUGAUUGUAUAAUGUCUUGAGGACCAGAUUUAUCAAACUCUACAGAUGAAACUUUGUUGGAUUCAUUGUUUGUAUCAAUGGACCCUGAAAGUAAGCUCGAAAAUUGUCGUUUCUUGGAAUUUUCAAAUCCGUUAACUGCAGUUGUUUCAUUCUCGGUUUUUUCCUCUGGUAUUUCAGUUUGGCUCAAACUACUUUCAUUAGUAAGUACACAAGCAGAUUCGUCCAGAUUCUGUCCCUGUUCUGAAAUCCCAUGUCGUUCUAUGACUUCCACAUUUUCCAAGGUUGCGGACACUUCGCUAAUUGCAACUUCCUUAUUCACGUUGGAAGAUUGGCUCUUACGUCCAAGUUUUCGUUUCUUUCUAGUACUGCGAGGAGUAGAUAGAACACCUUCACGAGAGGCAGUUUGCCCUUCUGGUUCUAUCUGAGAAUUUUCUUUUGAACAUUCAUCAUUAUUUGCUGUAGUGAAGGAGUUAUUGACACUCGGCGUUCCAUUAUUAUCAGCUUUCCUAUUGCUUUGGCUUGAAAUAUUUUCCUUUAAAAGAGCGUUAGAGUUGUCUGCCACAUCUAUAGCUUUAUCAGGUACAAUUGCUUCAUCUCUUAAAGAAGUAUCGUCUACAAUUACUUCCUUAUUGACCUUGCCAGACGGUGUUGUCAAAGACUCUUCCAUAUCAGUAGCUUCAUUUUUUGUUUCAUCAAUUUUUUUAACAUCACCUUUUUGUCUUUUAUUUUUCUUAGACGCUGGCAUUUUUCCUGCUUUCCCUUUUGAGCUGUCGUCUAAUUCUUGCACAGAAGCAAUCUGUAUGUAAUUGUCGUUAUUAGGUUUACCAGGACCAGAGAAUUCGGUAGUCUUUUCUCCUUUAUCUUGUGAAGAAGCAUAAGGACCAUUCUUAGAGACAGAUCGCAACUCAUCAACUCCUUUUAAUAUAUCCGACAUCUUUUCGCUCGAUUGAUGGUUGGCUUGCUUACCACCAGGACAUAGUGACUGAAACGGUAAAAGAAUAAUAUAAGUUUUGCUCAGAUACGAUAUUGUUUUUUGUAGUUCAAUAGGGUAUUCUUCCGAUUCAAAUUUACCAAAAACUUGAUUCCAAAACUUGAUAGCAGCAAGGACCACCUCUUUUGAAAUACUUUUAAGACCUGAUGUCAACAGCGGAGAAAGAGAUUCUAAAAUAUUAGAAGCUGUAGCAGUGGAAUUUAGUAGCAGCUGCAAAAUUAAUAUACAAAAGUUG